UACAGAGGUCUCAAGCGUUGUUCGGAUUCAUUGGGCGUAAAGGGUGCGUAGGUGGCGCCGUAAGUCAGGUGUGAAAUCUCGGGGCUUAACUCCGAAACUGCAUUUGAUACUGCGGUGCUUGAGGACUGGAGAGGAGACUGGAAUUCAUGGUGUAGCAGUGAAAUGCGUAGAGAUCAUGAGGAAGACCAGUGGCGAAGGCGGGUCUCUGGACAGUUCCUGACGCUGAGGCGCGAAAGCGUGGGGAGCAAACGGG
rnacentral:rRNA from 1 species